ACAUAUCAAUAAGCGGAGGAAAAGAAACCAACAGGGAUUGCCCUAGUAACGGCGAGUGAAGCGGCAACAGCUCAAAUUUGAAAUCUGGCCCUCGGGUCCGAGUUGUAAUUUGUAGAGGAUGCUUUUGGUGCGGUGCCUUCCGAGUUCCCUGGAACGGGACGCCAUAGAGGGUGAGAGCCCCGUCUGGUUGGACACCAAUCCUCUGUAAAGCUCCUUCGACGAGUCGAGUAGUUUGGGAAUGCUGCUCUAAAUGGGAGGUAUAUGUCUUCUAAAGCUAAAUAUUGGCCAGAGACCGAUAGCGCACAAGUAGAGUGAUCGAAAGAUGAAAAGCACUUUGAAAAGAGAGUUAAACAGUACGUGAAAUUGUUGAAAGGGAAGCGCUUAUGACCAGACUUGGGCUUGGUAGAUCAACCUGGGUUCUCCCUGGUGCACUCUUCCUCGUCCAGGCCAGCAUCAGUUCGCUGCGGGGGAUAAAGGCUUCGGGAAUGUGGCUCCCUCGGGAGUGUUAUAGCCCGUUGCGUAAUACCCUGCGGUGGACUGAGGUUCGCGUUCUGCAAGGAUGCUGGCGUAAUGGUCAUCAGCGACCCGUCUUGAAACACGGACCAAGGAGUCGUCUUCGUAUGCGAGUGUUCGGGUGUUAAACCCCUACGCGUAAUGAAAGUGAACGCAGGUGAGAGCUUCGGCGCAUCAUCGACCGAUCCUGAUGUUCUCGGAUGGAUUUGAGUAAGAGCAUACGGGGCCGGACCCGAAAGAAGGUGAACUAUGCCUGUAUAGGGUGAAGCCAGAGGAAACUCUGGUGGAGGCUCGCAGCGGUUCUGACGUGCAAAUCGAUCGUCAAAUAUGGGCAUGGGGGCGAAAGACUAAUCGAACCUUCUAGUAGCUGGUUUCCGCCGAA
rnacentral:rRNA from 1 species